CUGUUUGUGUGGCGGGAGGGGCACAAACAGUUUUUGUCCGGGGUGAGAGGGGUCGGCUACGAUCUUUUCAGCUCGCUUCAGAGACCUGGAAGCGAACAAGUCCUGCAGAGACGGCAGAUUGCAGCCAAUCACCCUCUCUGCAGAGCGGAUGACACGCUGCAGCCUGCCCUUGUCCUUGGCUGUGGCUGCAGCGUACCAGAUGGUGAUGGAGGAGCAGAGGAUGGACUUGAUGAUGGCCGUGUAGAAGUGGAUCAUCAUCGUCUUUGGCAGGUUGAAUUUCUUCAGCUGCCUCAGGAAGAACAACCUCUGCUGAGCCUUCUUUGUGAUGGAGCUGAUGUUCAGCUCCCACUUGAGGUCCUGGGUGAUGAUGGAGCCCAGGAAACGGAAGGAAUCCACAAUAGUGACGGGGGAGUCACACAGGGUGAUGGGGGAGGGUGGGGCUCUGUUCCGCCGGAAAUCCACAACCAUCUCCACUGUCUUUAGAGCGUUGAGCUCCAGGUUGUUCUGGCUGCAACACGACACCAGAUGGUCAGACUCCCACCUGUAGGCGGACUCAUCCCCACUAGAGCUCAGUCCAAUGAGGGUGGUGUCAUCUGCAAACUUCAGGAGCUUGACGGACUGGUGAAUGGAGGUGCAGCUGUUGGUGUACAGGGAAAAGAGCAGAGGGGAAAGAACGUACAAAUUAAUGUGUUUGUCCUUGUAGCCUCCAUGAUCACUGUUUCAUGAUAUUAAAUGCUAUGUUAAGCACUAUGGGUGUAACGAUUAAUUUGAACAACGAUUCAAUUCGAAUCACAAUUCAUGGUUGCCGAUCCGAUUCAUGGACGAUCUGGGUUAAUUUCGAAUGAUUCGAUUCAGUGACUUGAAAUCAAUUCAGUAACUUUACUGGACAGUGCAGGCAAAGUUUCUGAGAUCCCUGUUGUUUCUUGUAAGGAAAUCAGGUUUUAAUUAAGUAUGGAUAUUAUAAACAAGCAAACAACAAUUGAUGGCAAAUGUAUUAACCUUUUAUUUGAAUCAAGUGCCAUUUUCAAUGUAAACAUUACACAAUGUUUGGAUCAAUUCACAGAACUCCAGAUUUUCAACCACAUUGUAGGGUUGCAUGUCUUUACAGAUAACCUUGGAAAUUGUUACUCUGAUGUUGAGUUUCGUGCUGGCGAGGCCUGAGGUGUCUGCAGAGCUGGAGUUCCCUGCUGCUGCAGCGGUGACGCUGCUAGAGGUGCCUGACUGUUGGCGUUGUUUAAUCCCACGGCGCCUUAGUAGAUGGCCGGAAAGAUUCGUUGUGUUUCUGUGUUUUUUUAUUUGGCUUCUACAUAUUCUACAAACAGCGACCGACUUAUUUAGAACACCUCCGUGUUUGCACACGCUGGAUCGAUAAGUUGGUUUGUAAAUGUCUUGCUCGCAGUCAUCUCCUCCACGCUGUGUUUUGUUGUUGUUCCGAGUUUCGCGCGGCUGCCGCUGCGUACUACUGACGUCACAGACAGGCAGACUCGAGCUGAAUCGAGUAACGUUUAACGUGUCUAAAGUGCUAAAAAACAAACAAACACACAUCCAUACAGUUUUUGUACUUAAAUCCGAUGUGCAGUUUCCAAGUAUCGAUACAAUCGAUUAUGUACCAUUUCAAAUCGAUUUGUAAUCAAUAUAUGUCGUCCGGAAUGCCGAUUUGCAGAGCACAGAUUGAUUCAGUUGGAUCGCAGGAAUAUUAAUCGAUUCAGUGAAUGAAUCGUUACACCCCUAUUAAGCACUAAUGAUCUAAUGACACAAAAGAGGUUCAGGUACAUCUUCAAUUUAAUUCAUAGUAAUGUUUGUGCAUUUAACCUGGACGAGGACCACCCCACUGAUUAUUAGCCAUCUUGAUGUUUAACAGGAAGACAAACGGUUUGUGUGUUUUUGGAAUGUAGUCCUAGCCAAUAAAAUAUUAACUGUUUAAUUGUUACUGUAUCCAACACCUCUUAUGAAGAGGAAACCACGCCUCUUGUUAGGUGGGGACGAGAAGCACAGACAGACACACACACACACACACAGGGGAAAAGAUACAAACGCCCCGGAUGGGGAAAAACGGCAGCUGACCCAUAACAGUUUGACUGUGUAAGAACUCUGAUCUGAUCCAUUGAGAUAUUUUGCCUAGUUAUUUUAUGUCUUAUAUAUAAUAUAUUUACUCCAUAUAUAUCUAAUCCAUUAUAUACAGAAUUCUUUAGUUUAAAUGAAAAUGAAAUGAAACUAUUAAAAUACAUUAGCAAGACCAUGUCAUCAAGUCAGCUGCUGUUCCAAUUGCGGAAAUGACCGUUCUCCCGAAUCUAUUCUCACGGGAACGCAAUGCCAACUGGGAAUAAAAGGUAAACUUUGAUUUGAUGCUAUAAACGUUCAACUUGACGAAUCAGACUAGAGCUACUGAUAAGAGAAUUGUAAAAUGGGUCAAGUUUGCAUUUGCAGUGACCUCCAUCAGCAUCAUGAUGACAGAAAGUUCAGACAGCCCCUGUUGCUCCAGAAGCUCUGACAGGUAUUUAGCAUUGUUUGUAACUGGUUUUGUUGGUAAAAGCCUUUCUGCACCAUUCUCUUAGUUCUGGCCCUCUCAGACUGUAUGAGGUCAAUGACUCUCCUUGUCUAAUCACAAUCUAUGAAUUUCGGCCAAAACCGAACAUACUCUGUACACUUAUUGCCUCAUCGGUCCAAGCUAGAGCGCUACAACAAAACCAAGGCUAAAAACAGCACAGCAAUUCCACCCUGAAUCGGCUGAUGUAAGUUACAUUUCUGUCAGAAAGAAUGCAUAAUUCCCAGAGGUUUUUGAAUGCUGAAUGCUUAGCGAAUGUGUGUGUCCCUUUCAAAACAUUCCCUUCCUUCUCAUGGUCGGAUUUCAUGGGAGGGGGGGGGGCACUUUUGCCCUUCACCCUCAGAGCGUAGCGUAAUUUCUCGCUCUACACGUUUCCUCCAGACCAGAAAAGGUCGCUGGUCGCUUUUGACACAAAAAGUCGCCAAGAGGGUUUGGAAAGUCACUCUAAAGAACUAUGAAGGAAUAUGCAUAUGUGCAUGUCUUAACUCAUCAUUUCAUAAUUUGCUUUUCGAGUUUCCAAAUUUACUAAAUAUCAGACCCAUUUGUUAAAAGUAACCUAGCUCAACUGCAAUUUAUGGAAUAGCGUGUUGUUGAGGUUGACAUGUCAUAAUUGACUGGGUAGCAGGAGGGCGACUGAUCAAAGUUUCCCACCCGGGGCCAUUUCAAACAUGUCAUCAUUUUAAUACUCUGCUUCACUAUGACCAAACAUUUGAUCAAAUCACAUCUACAUUUUGCCAGCGAGUUACACAGACUAUUUCUGUGGCACGGACCAUCUUUUGGAACAUGACUUAAUUCUCCUCAACACAAAACCAAUACAGAGUGAAUGUUUCACAGGUUCAUCCUCUCUCCCCACACAUCACACGGUGGUGAUGGGGGGUGUAUUGGGAAUGGAAAGACCACGGCUGAGGGGAAAACAGCUGUCAGCCUUUGUGGAGAAAGGAUGAUGACACGGUAUAGUCCAUCACUUCUGCUCCCUUGGAGACUUAUUACAGAGGCAGGCCAGGGAGAGAGCUAGUAAUUAAUUUGGAGAGCGCUGAUGUUGGUUUUGAUGCACCAGAGACUGACAAUGGCUGUCUAGAGCAUGCAUUGCACACAUGGCUGUGAUGUGUAUAAAAAGGAAAAUGUCUGAAAGAGAUGGAGCUGAAUGAUACAAAGAGGCAAUGACAUUGCCCUUGGCGAUGCAUAUUUACACCUCCUCUCUUAUUUUGCUUCUCAUAUAGGCAUUUCCCAUGUCUUUCUCUUUCACAGCUAUCCAUCUACGCAGACCUCUUGCUUCCUCUCUUCUUCUGAGAUGACUGUGUGUCAUCACUAGCAGCCUAUUCCGUUACUAAUGACACGCUUCUCUGUUAAAAAUGAGUCAUGUUGCAGCAUGUAAAUAGCCCUGUUUUCCAUCAGUUCAUCCAUUAAGCUACCUGACUACACCAGAAUCCGAAAUCAUUUAUUGCCACGUAUGUUACACAGAGGGAUAAAAAAAAAUAUAUAAUAUAUGAAAUAAUAUAAGCAGAUAAGUACUUUAAAACAUGUACACAGUCAAUUUUGUAGUGUUAAAGUGACACUCGAAAAGUAGAAUUUAACAAAAUUUUCCAGAGUGAAUUUGGUCCCAAUUGGAAUUGGUGUUAAAUUAACUAUUGCCCAAGUGUUGAAAUUUUAGAGUUAAAUUAACUCUAGAGUAAAAAUGUAACACCACUCACUGUAUAGUGUUAAUGAAAUUUAACACUACAGGUUAAAUAACUCUUGAAAUUGUUAAAUUAUAAACACUAUGAGUGAUAUUAACUCAUAACUAUGACAACAAAUCAACUCAGUUAAAUUGAAAUUAUCAUUAACACUAUAUAGUUAUACAAAAUUAACAAUACAACAAAUUACUCCGGUAAGUGCUCAUGUUAUACACUACAGUGUUGACAAUUUACUCUUAUUGUGAAAACAGCACUGACACACUGAAAUUCUAACCAUCCAUUGACACUGCUUAGUGUCACUGAAAAUUAACACUAAUUACAAAUAAUUUCCUCAGUAUCAAAUUACAUCAAAUGUAUUCAUUACAGCUUUUUCAAACGCCAUGAAUUAGUAAAAUCACAAAAACACCAAAUAAUGCAUCUCACAGCUCUUUAUCGUGCAGAGAAACAAUGCAAAACAUUUGACCUUCGAUCGGCUUUAAAUGGCAAUAAGGGACGACAUUCCUUAAAAAGGGGGAAUGGCCUACACUCUAUUUGAACAUUGAAUGGUUUCAAGUAAAUAGCCAAUUUAUGUGCAAUACCUUAAUAAUCUUGUCAGGAUGCAGCCUGACCUUAAAGGCAUGGCAAUACUGAUCAAAACACACAAUUUCCAGCAAUUUUCCAAACAGUAAUACAUUGUCAUCUUUAGUCGUACAAAACAGGCAUCUCACAUGCUACAUCAACUCUCCUACGAUGCUUAAAUUAACAUCAGUGUGAACUUCUUGGUCAAUAUACUGUUUGUUUGGUGUGUAAAUGUUUCCUAAAACCUGAAAAAAGUACCAAACACUCACAUCCAGUCUGCGCACAUUUAAGGCGAAUAUAUUUCCAGUAACCAUGAACUUUGGCAACACAAGGACUCUUUGACUUUGCCAACAUCAAUAUUUUAGACAGCAGUUUGGAUGAACGUGUACGUGUUGUGUAGCAUGGCGUUUUAUGUGCCUUGAACAGUUCAUCAAAAAGCACCAAGAGAAGAGGUUGACCUGUGGGGUAUGGAAUUCUUGUCAAGGGUGAAGAACUGGUGGAUCACAUUCUUCCUUGCUCGAAAUAUCAGGAGGUAGGGUGGAGUACUCGUAGUGAUGGCAUCACGGUGCUCUUGGAUGUUUGUUCCAGUCUGACAAGACAAACACACAUGGAGAGACAAUUAUAUAGUUGUAAUUAUAACAAUUUAUAUAGAAUUUGAAAUUCUUGUCAUAAAUUAAGGAAAAAUACCAACCUUCUUGAAUGCCACAAAAUGCUUCUUUGGUUGGGAUGCAGACACCUUUCCUGUUUUUUUACAACCUUGAGCAGAAGGUGGAAUAAGGUGCAUCUGCAAGACAAGUCACUGUCCAAACCUGCAACACCAGCAGAUCUGCAAUGUUAAACUGAGCCAAACAUUUCAGUGCCUUUGAGGUUUUGAUUUAAAUCUCAACCCAGCUUCAUAAACAAUGCUGAUAUGCAAUGGUUUACACAUGUUGAUAUAUUUUAAGUUUGAGUGCAAUAAAACAAACUGCUUACAAAAGUCAAGAUCGGCUUCAGUGGGAUUCUCAGGCGGAUCAGCUGCCAGCAGAUGUUCCUUAAGCCUACUGUUGGAUGGAAGCUUUCAGCAUCGUUGGAUUAUGUUUUUCUUGAUUGUAGUUUGCCACCU
ensembl:lncRNA